UUUAGUCCAUUCAGAGGAACCUGUCCCGUGAUUGAUGGUCCACGAUUGGCUUUACUUAUUUUAUUGGUUUAUAUAUCGUCGUAGGUUGAAUUUUUUUAAAGAAUAGAUAAUGUUCAUAAUUUUUAAGGAAAGGAAAUCAGAUCAAGGUGUAGCGUAUAAAUAAGUGGAGAUGGGUUACAAUGAGUUUACUUAGACGGGGAAGCAGUUUUAAUAUUGCUUUUAAGGUGGAUUUGAGGGUAAUUUUAAUUUAAAUUGUUAAAAUGAUUUAGGCUCUAAAAUAUGCACAUAUCGCCCGUCGCUUUCAUUAUAAAGUGAAAUAAGUCGUAACAUAGUAGGCGUACUGGAAAGUGUGCCUGGAAUGGCGUUUUGAAGCUUUUAUGAGCAUUUUAUUUACAUUAAGGGGGAUACUAUUAAUUUAGUGCAUUACGAAACUGAUUCUUUGCUUAAUUUUUUAUUAAUUUUGGUUUUAAAAUGAGUAAGUUUUUGAUUAAUUAUAUAGAUAGAAAAGUUUUUUUUGCUAUAUAGUAUUAGUAUCGUGAGAGAAUAGUUAUAAAUUGUAUUAAAGAAGAGUUGAUUUUUUGU
rnacentral:rRNA from 1 species